GGACUCUCCGAUGCGACAAGUCCAUAUAUCGAGGCGACGGCACACAGGAACCCGGUGCGAAUCCGGGACGGUCCCGCCACUGUGACCGGAAGUCAGCGCGCGCGGGCGCGCCGCGCUUCCGGGAGUCAGGAACUGGCCCGUCGUCCUCCUUCCUG
rnacentral:ncRNA from 2 species